GAUGAACGCUGGCGGCGUGCCUAAUACAUGCAAGUCGAGCGGUAAGGCUCUCACAGAUUAUUUGAUCGGGGUUAAUCCUAAACUCUCUCCGGCUGGAGAAAGGGAAAGAUCGAAUAAUGUGUGAGAGUACACGAGCGGCGGACGGCUGAGUAACGCGUAGGAACGUACCCCAGACUGAGGAAUAAGCUCUGGAAACAGAGUCUAAUACCGCAUAGUCUCUUCGGAGUAAAGCUUCGGCGGUUUGGGAACGGCCUGCGUAUGAUUAGCUUGUUGGUGAGGUAAAAGCUCACCAAGGCGACGAUCAUUAGCUGGUCUGAGAGGAUGAUCAGCCAGACUGGGACUGAGAACGGCCCAGACUCCUACGGGAGGCAGCAGUAGGGAAUUUUCCGACAAUGGGCGAAAGCCUGAUGGAGCAACGCCGCGUGCAGGAUGAAUGCCUUAGGGUUGUAAACUGCUUUUACGAGUGACGA
rnacentral:rRNA from 1 species